AACAGCAGCACUGAAGCCAGGAAACUUGGGAAUGAGUCCUGAUUCUGCUACUAAUUUUGUUUUGUUUUGAAGACAUGAAUUUCUUUUGCUCAAAGACCUCAAGAGAAUGCAUUCAGAGGUAUCAUUACCUGGCCCAGGAGACUGACAUGAGCUACCUGCUGCCUGCCUGUGUUUAUGACAUCUCAAGAUAGUACCUGCCGCUGGGAUCCGAGUAUUCGAAUGCAUGAACACGUGGAGGACGCUUCACAUCCAAACCUGUAACGGGGCAUUAUCUGCCACACACGGAGGCCCGGAGACCCGGAGAGCACACCUUCAGAGAGCAUGCGCUGAACAGAGGAUGGGCGAGGACGCUUACACCGAGUCUCUUAUCUCCCGGGCAAGAAGGAAAGGCACGGUUCACAACCCACUCUUCCGGCGGCUCCCCUGAGUGGAAGCCUUCCUCUUAUGAACCGUCAUAGAGGCUUCUCUCUGGCCUCUGAGCACAGUUACUUCUCACCUCCAGGAGGCCAUGUGCUGCCUAAAUGGGAGACAAGUAAGGGUUCCUUGAGGGCAAAUUGUGUUUCUGCCUCCUACUGCUUGUAUAGCUUCAAACAAGUCAGAAGAUAGCCAAAGAACCUACAUAGGCCCCGUGAGGGCUAACAGGGCUGCUACAUGCAUGCACGGGCACAAGUACUCAGUUACUGCAACCGUGGGUGUUCUGCACCCUGUCCGCUCCAAAUCCUGGGAGCAAUGCUCCAAAUCGUCUCAGGGACUAUUCUGAACACAUCUGGGCAUAAGAAUGUGUUGGGAAUCGGUCAGCUCUGCAGCUCCGUGUGGGCUCAAGGCAGAUUCAAAGCAGCGGUGGUUGGAGAAGGAAUCAUUGCAUCUAGGAUGAAUGAAAAGCAGAACCAGACACAUCCCUCUGGGGACUUUGUAGCAACACCUUGUCACUGGCUACCUGUAAGGAACGGAUUGAUGCUCCCAGUCAAGGGCAGAGGAACUAGGAUGAGCAGGUUGAGUAACAAUAAAAUGAUUAACAAAGGCUGGCAAGGCAUUCAUUCGGCUGUCACUACUGCUUGGGAAGAGCAGAAGAGAGAGAAGGAGAGCCCACAGAUUGGAGCAGCGUCCUCCAGACUGGAAGUUCGUUUCUGGUGGCUCCGUGUCUGCCUCCCAGGCUGGGGCGAUUUAUAAAGAUACCAGGCCCAUUCAUUGUGAGCGGGUUUCCUGGGGCUUUUGUCCGUUGCUAGGCAGAGUUCAAUCUUCCAGAACUGCACCUGCUUGGCAGUCCUGUCUUAGGAAAACCUAAGGUACCUACAAGAACACCUCCUUUGCCAGACUGAGACAGAGCGUCACCUACCUGGAACAUGCCAGCAGCACCUGCAGAGCUCAAAAAGCCAUUGUGAAGUCUUUCUAGUGCUAGAAGGACAUUGAUGAUCACCGGUUAGGAAAUGCCUAUGCUCUGCCAGCGCAGGAAGGCUGUGUCUGCAGAAGGCUGGCUCCCCUCCUACCUCCUGGCCUGGGUGAAUGAAGUACCUCUCCUCUGAAAGGCACAUCAGAUGGAGUUAAGACGUGAGCCAUUUCUCUAGGAUGGCCUCUGACCUAUAUCAAAGUCCCAUGAAUGAGACAGCCUGACCCUGGACUUUCUAUUCUGUUCCAUUGAUCAACCUCUCUAUCCACACAUGAGAACAUUCUGUCUUUGUCUCUUUACAAUAAGUUGGUGGCGCCUGGUAGGAGGAUGCUAUCUUCCAUCCUCUUCAGAGGUUGUUGGCUAUUCUUGAUCACAUCACAGUUUUAGAACUAUUCUGUCAGUUACCCCAAAGCCCUUUGUUGGGAUUGCAGUGGGAAUGCAUUACUCCACUGCACUGAAAUCUACCGAAAUGAACUGGACAGGUGGAAGAGAAAUAAUACUGAGUCCAUAAACGAAUCCUGUCUCAUCUCUUGUACCGUUUGUACUUUCCAAUUGAGUUCUGCUUUUCUCUACAGAGUACUCACUCUCCAGGCUAUCUUAAAGGUUGUGCCUUAGGCAUGAGAGUGUCUUGCAAUUCUAACUGGUGGCCUCUUUCUCUCCUUAGCAUGCAGGCAGCAAUGGUGAACCAUAACCUUGAUGGCACCAUAAGUUCUACAAAAUUCAUUCCUUUUGUUGUUUUUUUUUUUCAAAUGUUAUCUUCUUAAAUUUUUUUUUGUUUGUUUAAGUGAAACUAUUACAUUUCUUUCUAGAGAUGGUACAAGACCACAAUUUUUAUGUAUUGAUUUUGCAACCAACAGCCUUGUAAAACUCUUAUCUUCCUAGCAAUUUUAAGUCUGUCUGCUCCUUCUGUUGACUUAUACAUGGUCCCUUUAUGUAUCUGGUCCUUAUGUGUCUGGUGAUAUUAAACGGUAAGCUCCUGUUAGUUUGGUCUUCAUGUGGAGGAAUCCUAUGGCCAUCAAGCAGAAUGCUUCUGUCUGCAUUUAGAUUAUGCCACUAAUACAGGGCUGCUGUAAAGAAGGCCUUGGGUGCAAUCUGGCAGCCCCACCUUGUUCCUAGCCCUUGGCUUUUCCCUCACAUUGUUUCUUCCUUAGGUCCACUUCUGAUUUUGAUGACUUCCUGUUCUGUCCUGUGCUGGAUUAUGGGGAGAAAAGUAUGGGAGAGAACUUAGAUAGUCACCAUACUACUCAACGUCCAGUGACAUACUGGAGACAGCAUUGUAUUCGAGUAUUUGAGAUUUGCUAAUUGUAUAAUGGGAGAGUCCUUCAUGCUGCCUGUGGCCCUCACUUCUGUCCUCCUCUCACGGGCAGAACAUUUUAAUUGACACUGCACACUCAAGGUCAAGAUACCAACCUAAAAACUAUUACAAAAGUAUUACAUGUUUUCUACAUACAAUUUUAACAAAAAUACAU